GGGCGAUUAGCUCAGUGGUGAGAGCGCUUGCUUCACACGCAAGAGGUCACUGGUUCAAGUCCAGUAUCGCCCACCA
rnacentral:tRNA from 1 species